GACGAACGCUGGCGGCGUGCUUAACACAUGCAAGUCGAACGGAAAGGCCUCUUUCGGGGGGUACUCGAGUGGCGAACGGGUGAGUAACACGUGAGUAACCUGCCCUUGACUUUGGGAUAACUUCAGGAAACUGGGGCUAAUACCGGAUAGGAGCUCCUGCUGCAUGGUGGGGGUUGGAAAGUUUCGGCGGUUGGGGAUGGACUCGCGGCUUAUCAGCUUGUUGGUGGGGUAGUGGCUUACCAAGGCUUUGACGGGUAGCCGGCCUGAGAGGGUGACCGGCCACAUUGGGACUGAGAUACGGCCCAGACUCCUACGGGAGGCAGCAGGGGGGAAUAUUGCACAAUGGGUGGAAGCCUGAUGCAGCAACGCCGUGGGCGGGAUGCCGGCCUUCGGGUUGUAAACCGCUUUCGCUCAUGACGAAGCUUUGUGUGACGGUAGUGGGUAAAGAAGCACCGGCUAACUACGUG
rnacentral:rRNA from 1 species